rnacentral:rRNA from 1 species
AUUGAACGCUGGCGGCAGGCUUAACACAUGCAAGUCGAACGAAGUGGCGGACGGGUGAGUAACGCGUCAUCAACCUGCCCUUAAGGGGGGAACACCAGUUGGAAACGACUGCUAAUACCGCAUACGGAAGGAGGGGAUUGCGGCGGAUUAGCUAGGUGGAGGGGUAACGGCCCACCAAGGCGAUGAUCAGUCGGCGGUCUGGGAGGAAGAACCGGCACAGUGGGACUGAGACACGGGCCAGAAGCCGACUGGAGGCAGCAGGGGGGAAACUUCCGAAAUGGACGAAAGUCUUACGGAGCACCGCCGCGGUAGUGAUGACGGGCCUCGGGUUGUAAAGGUCUGUUAAUCGGGACGCGGUACCGGAAGAGAAAGCCCCGGCUAACUACGUGCCAGCCGCCGCGGUAAUAC